AGUGAACGCUGGCGGUAGGCCUAACACAUGCAAGUCGAACGGCAGCACAGUAAGAGCUUGCUCUUACGGGUGGCGAGUGGCGGACGGGUAAGGAAUACAUCGGAAUCUACUUUUUCGUGGGGGAUAACGUAGGGAAACUUACGCUAAUACCGCAUACGACAUACGGGUGAAAGCAGGGGAUCUUCGGACCUUGCGCGAUUGAAUGAGCCGAUGUCGGAUUAGCUAGUUGGCGGGGUAAAGGCCCACCAAGGCGACGAUCCGUAGCUGGUCUGAGAGGAUGGUCAGCCACACUGGAACUGAGACACGGUCCAGACUCCUACGGGAGGCAGCAGUGGGGAAUAUUGGACAAUGGGCGCAAGCCUGAUCCAGCCAUACCGCGUGGGUGAAGAAGGCCUUCGGGUUGUAAAGCCCUUUUGUUGGGAAAGAAAAGCAGCAGGUUAAUACCCCGCUGUUCUGACGGUACCCAAAGAAUAAGCACCGGCUAACUUCGUG
rnacentral:rRNA from 1 species